rnacentral:rRNA from 1 species
GACAGAGGGGGCAAGCGUUGCUCGGAAUUACUGGGCGUAAAGGGCGCGUAGGCGGGAUGGCAAGUCGGUCGUGAAAUCCCUCGGCUCAACCGAGGAACGUCGAUCGAUACUGCUGUUCUUGAGGAUUGCAGAGGAGACUGGAAUUCCCGGUGUAGCGGUGAAAUGUGUAGAGAUCGGGAGGAACACCGGUGGCGAAGGCGGGUCUCUGGGCAAUUCCUGACGCUGAGGCGCGAAAGCAUGGGUAGCAAACAGG